rnacentral:rRNA from 1 species
AUGAUAAUAUUCUUACUUUAUUUAAUUAUAUUAAUUAGAGAAAUAUCUUUUUUUUUAGUAUAUUAAAGAAUAAAAUAUUUAUGUUAUAGUUAAUUUGUACUGUCAGGGACUGAUGAAAUAAUGAAAUUUUAAUUUUUUGUAAGUAUAUUUUAUUUAUAGUACCUUUUGUAUCAGGGUUAAUUAAAAAUGACAAAUUUAUUUUUAAAUCUCGAUUUUAAAAGAGCUAAUUUGUUAUUAUAUUUACCGUUUUAUAGUUAUUAUAAAUAGAAAUUAGUAGAGAAAUUCUAAUCGUUUUUAAAGGUAUCUAGUUUUUUAAGAAAUAAAUUUAAUUUAUUUUCUUUAUUUAUCUUUCUUAUUAAAUAGUUAGUUAUUUAUAGAAUUAAAAUUUAUAGGGGAUAAGCUCUAUAAAAUACUAUAAUUUAAAUUUUAGUUAAUUGUAAUAGGCUUAAGACUAGCCAUUUUUAAUAAAUAUGUUAUAAUUUAUUUGAUGUUGUUAUUAAUUUUAUUUAUUUUAGUAUUUUAUUAAAAUAACAUAAAAAAUUAUAUAUUUUGUGUAAUAAUGAUUAAAUUAGUAUAUAAUUAAGUUAAUGUAAUUGUUAAUUUUAUGAUAAAGUAAGUUACUCGGCAAUUAUGAUUCUCGCCUGUUUAACAAAAACAUGUCCUUUUGAAUUUAAUUUAAGGUCUGACCUGCCCAGUGAUUAUUUUUAACGGCCGCGGUAUAUUGACCGUGCAAAGGUAGCAUAAUCAUUAGUCUUUUAAUAGAGGGCUGGAAUGAAAGGUUUAACGAGGAAUCGACUGUCUCACUUUAUAUGUAUUAAAAUUUAAUUUCUUAGUCAAAAAGCUGAGAUUUUAUUGGAAGACGAGAAGACCCUAUAGAUCUUUAUAUAAUACUGGUUUGAUAUUAUUAUAUUAAUAAUUUUUAUUAGUUUUGUAUUUUGUUGGGGUGACAAAAAUAUAUAAUUAACUUUUUUAUCUAUUAAACAUUGAUUUAUGAAUAUUUGAUCCAUUAUUAUUGAAUAUUAGAUUAAGUUACCUUAGGGAUAACAGCGUAAUCCUUUUCCAGAGUUCAUAUUUACAAAAGGGCUUGCGACCUCGAUGUUGGAUUAAGAUAAUUGUUAGGUGUAGCCGCUUAAUGUGUAGGUUCUGUUCGACCUUUAAAGCCUAA